rnacentral:rRNA from 1 species
CAAACCAAAGCUGGCGACCGGCGCACGGGUGAGUAACACGUAUCCAACCUGCCUCAUACUCGGGGAUAGCCUUUCGAAAGAAAGAUUAAUAUCCGAUAGCAUAUAUUUCCCGCAUGGGUUUUAUAUUAAAGAAAUUCGGUAUGAGAUGGGGAUGCGUUCCAUUAGUUUGUUGGGGGGUAACGGCCCACCAAGACUACGAUGGAUAGGGGUUCUGAGAGGAAGGUCCCCCACAUUGGACUGAGACACGGCCAA